rnacentral:rRNA from 1 species
GACGAACGCUGGCGGCGUGCCUAACACAUGCAAGUCGAGCGAGGAGAGUUCCUUCGGGAACAAACCUAGCGGCGGACGGGUGAGUAACACGUGGGCAACCUGCCUUGUAGAGGGGAAUAGCCUUCCGAAAGGAAGAUUAAUAUCGCAUAACAUUACAGUUUCGCAUGAAACAGUAAUUAAAGGAGCAAUCCGCUACAAGAUGGGCCCGCGGCGCAUUAGCUAGUUGGUGAGGUAACGGCUCACCAAGGCGACGAUGCGUAGCCGACCUGAGAGGGUGAUCGGCCACAUUGGGACUGAGACACGGCCCAGACUCCUACGGGAGGCGGCAGUGGGGAAUAUUGCACAAUGGGGGAAACCCUGAUGCAGCAACGCCGCGUGAGUGAUGAAGGUUUUCGGAUCGUAAAGCUCUGUCUUCGGGGACGAUAAUGACGGUACCCGAGGAGGAAGCCACGGCUAACUACGUG